rnacentral:rRNA from 1 species
GUGAAACUGCGAAUGGCUCAUUAAAUCAGUUAUCGUUUAUUUGAUAGUACCUUACUACUUGGAUAACCGUGGUAAUUCUAGAGCUAAUACAUGCUAAAAACCUCGACUUCGGAAGGGGUGUAUUUAUUAGAUAAAAAACCAAUGCCCUUCGGGGCUCACUGGUGAUUCAUAAUAACUUAACGAAUCGCAUGGCCUUGUGCCGGCGAUGGUUCAUUCAAAUUUCUGCCCUAUCAACUUUCGAUGGUAUGGUCUUGGCUUACCAUGGUUUCAACGGGUAACGGGGAAUUAGGGUUCUAUUCCGGAGAGGGAGCCUGAGAAACGGCUACCACAUCCAAGGAAGGCAGCAGGCGCGCAAAUUACCCAAUCCUGAUACAGGGAGGUAGUGACAAUAAAUACUGAUACAGGGCUCUUUUGGGUCUUGUAAUUGGAAUGAGUACAAUUUAAAUCCCUUAACGAGGAACAAUUGGAGGGCAAGUCUGGUGCCAGCAGCCGCGGUAAUUCCAGCUCCAAUAGCGUAUAUUAAAGUUGUUGCAGUUAAAAAGCUCGUAGUUGAACCUUGGGCCUGGCUGGUCGGUCCGCCUCACCGCGUGCACUGAUCCGGCCGGGCCUUUCCUUCUGGGGAGCCGCAUGCCCUUCACUGGGUGUGUCGGGGAACCAGGACUUUUACUUUGAAAAAAUUAGAGUGUUCAAAGCAGGCCUAUGCUCGAAUACAUUAGCAUGGAAU